AAUAAGAAUAAAGAAAUAUUACUAGAGUGGAUGAAAGAUUUUGUAUAAAAUAAACAAAAAUUAUUAUGACAAUAAACUUACUUUUACCAACGACUACAACGAUGAAAAGAGAAAUAAAAAGUAUCAUAAUAUAAACAAACUUGAGAGUUUCACCCAUUUGUUUUUUACCUUUCAAUGUACAAAUUUAAAAUGUUUUGAUGACUUUAUA
rnacentral:lncRNA from 1 species